rnacentral:rRNA from 1 species
GCACAAGCGGCGGAGCAUGUGGAUUAAUUCGAUGCAACGCGAAGAACCUUACCUGGGCUUGACAUAUACGGGAUCGCCGUGGAGACACGGUUUCCCUUGUGGCUCGUAUACAGGUGGUGCAUGGUUGUCGUCAGCUCGUGUCGUGAGAUGUUGGGUUAAGUCCCGCAACGAGCGCAACCCUUGUCUCAUGUUGCCAGCACGUUAUGGUGGGGACUCGUGAGAGACUGCCGGGGUCAACUCGGAGGAAGGUGGGGAUGACGUCAAAUCAUCAUGCCCCUUAUGUCCAGGGCUUCACACAUGCUACAAUGGUCGGUACAGUGGGUUGCGAUGCCGUGAGGUUCAGCUAAUCCCUUGAAAGCCGGUCUCAGUUCGGAUCGGGGUCUGCAACUCGACCCCGGAAGUCGGAGUCGCUAGUAAU